rnacentral:rRNA from 1 species
UUGGUCCUCGGGGGGCAGCAGUGGGGAAUAUUGCACAAUGGGGGAAACCCUGAUGCAGCGACGCCGCGUGAGUGAAGAAGUAUUUCGGUAUGUAAAGCUCUAUCAGCAGGGAAGAAAUAGCGACCUUUGGGUCGCCAGACGGUACCUGAUUAAGAAGCCCCGGCUAACUACGUGCCAGCAGCCGCGGUAAUACGUAGGGGGCAAGCGUUAUCCGGAUUUACUGGGUGUAAAGGGAGCGUAGACGGCGAUACAAGUCUGAAGUGAAAGCCCGGGGCUCAACCCCGGGACUGCUUUGG